GCUGGGAUAGCUCAACUGGUAGAGCAUGAGAAUCUUAAUCUCUGGGAUGUGGGUUUGAGUCCUAUGUUGGGUG